AAACCAACAGGGAUUACCUCAGUAACGGCGAGUGAAGCGGUAACAGCUCAAAUUUGAAAGCUAGCUCUUUUAGGGUUCGCAUUGUAAUUUGUAGAAGAUGCUUCGGGUGUAGCUCCGGUCUAAGUUCCUUGGAACAGGACGUCAUAGAGGGUGAGAAUCCCGUAUGUGACUGGGUGCUUUCGCUCAUGUGAAGCUCUUUCGACGAGUCGAGUUGUUUGGGAAUGCAGCUCAAAAUGGGUGGUAAAUUUCAUCUAAAGCUAAAUAUUGGCCAGAGACCGAUAGCGCACAAGUAGAGUGAUCGAAAGAUGAAAAGCACUUUGGAAAGAGAGUUAAACAGUACGUGAAAUUGUUGAAAGGGAAGCGCUUGCAACCAGACUUGCGCGCUGAUGAUCAUCCGGGCUUCUGUCCGGUGCACUCGUCUGCGCUCAGGCCAGCAUCGGUUUCGGUGGUGGGAUAAAGGCCUUGGGAAUGUAGCUCCUCUCGGGGAGUGUUAUAGCCCUCGGUGCAAUGCCGCCUACCGGGACCGAGGACCGCGCUUCGGCUAGGAUGCUGGCGUAAUGGUUGUAAGCGAC
rnacentral:rRNA from 1 species